AGAGCUUCAUAAUGAAAUAGGUGCCAUUCUACAUCCGUAUUUGUACAUGUAUAUGUCAUAGACAUUGAUCAAACACCCAUGAUUAGACAAUACCUCGUGACAAUCUAUUGGGCCGUCGAAACGUCAAGGUCAUUCUAACAAGGUUGUCCCUCAAAAACACCUCUUUCCUAUUCCAAAUGAUGAUAGAGGGGGAUAGAGUACCAGUAUAGAGAGAUACUUUAGUGUUUUCAUAUUAGUUGGGAACAUAAGGAAAACGAAAAAAUGUACGUGUAUGUGUAAAUGAAACUUCUCUCCGAAUUUUUUUUUCAUUAGC